rnacentral:lncRNA from 1 species
AUGUCUCUAGUCAUCCCUGAGAAGUUCCAGCAUAUUUUGCGAGUACUCAAUACCAACAUCAAUGGGGGGUGGAAAACAGCCUCUGCCAUCACUAUCUUUAAGGAUGUAGGUCAAAGGUAAGCUCAUGUGGUGUUGAGGAAAGCAGACAUUGACCUCACCAAGAGGACAGGAGAAUUCACUGAGGAAGAGGUGGAACGUGUUAUCACCAUUAUGCAGUAUCUACACUAGCACAAAAUCCCAGACUUGUUUGUGAACAGAUAGAGGAUGUAAAGGAUGGAAAAUAUAUCCAAAUCCUGGCCACUGGUUUGGACAAUGAGCUGCAUGAAGACCUGGAGCAACUAAAGAAGAUUCCAGCCUGUAGAGGGCUGAGCCAUUUCUUGGGCCUUCAUGUCUAAUGCCAGCACAGUGAAACUACUGGCUGCUAUAGUCAUAUCGUGGGUGUAUUCAAGAAGAAAUAA